GGUGCGGAAUUAGCUGCCCCCUGCUAUGUCACAUAUGGGUUAAAUGCAGAGAACACAUUUUGUUGUUGUACACUCUGUGCUGUGAUGUGUCAACAAUGACAAUUAAUUACUAAAUUCUAAAAUUCCAAAAAAUUCUUACCAGCAACAAUAAGAUUAUGACAGUAAUAACAAAAUACACCAUAAUUAAAAUGCAAAUGGGUGACAUUUGCUGAGAAUCUGUAUUUAUUCAGCACAAUCCUAAAAUGUGGUAUCUGGCUCAGGCCUGACUGAGUCUACAACUUUGUCACAAAGGCAUCAAAUGAUCCACCUUCUGUCUCCAUGAGGGACGUGAGCGUGGGCGCUAUGUGGCGAUCAUGUGAUGGCAUCAACCAGGAGGUAUAACUCAGAAAUAAUAACAGCAUGAACAUUCUGAAAGGGCACAAACCACUGAGACUGGUUUGGUGCCAAUCGGAUGCACAGUCCAGACGCACGGCUGUCUCACCCAGCAUCACUAUUACACAUGCAGCAUCACUACAGGAGAUACAGAUCCAAGGUAUCACAGCAAUUUAGGAGGAACACCCACAGUGUGCAAUGACUACAGUGUCUGUCUGAGGAUGUGUCCAUGACCUCCACUGCAUCGUCUCCAUAUUAAUGCUACAUUUUCAGCAGACUUUACAUUGACAUAUAAGCUCUUUUCUUUAAUUGUAGUUACCACAUAAUAUCUGAUAUUGCAGGUGUUUCAUUCCUUUUCGCAAACAAGCAGAGUCCACAUUAAGCAUAAAUAUUACGUUACGGUGUUUCUUACCAAAUCAGAAAUGUUACAGAUACGUGUAACCAUGUGAUAAUAUUAAAAUGUUCAGUAGGUUCAUCACAGUUCAGCUCCUUUAUUAGACUCUUGUAUGGGAACCAGACCCUCAGCUGAAAUCCUGCAGCUUCUUGUAGAUGAUGAAUUAACUACAUUUUACUGUGAAAUUGGACAUCAGUAAGAUGACUGACUGUUUUAACUGUAUUAUCUUUUCCUUAGAAUAAAAGGACAGUUGGGCUUGGUUGAGAGACACCAAGAUAUCGGACUGGAACACGUUGGUCUCCAAAAUGCAUCUGCUCCUCUGAUGCUUGAAACCCUGAAGGACAUGAACCUGCAGAAGCGUCACCCAGCAGGACGUGAGCUGCAUGACAGGAUGAAGAGGGAAAUCAUGCUGCAGUGUCAGCAUAGAAUGAAAUGUACCCUGAAGCAGAAAAGUGAGUGUGUAUUUGGAGGGAAAGCUAAGGAAGGACAGCCAACACUUCUCAGUGAGAAUUACACAGAACUCUACGUAACUGAAGGUGGGACUGGAGGAGUCAAUGAUGAACAUGAAGUGAGACAGAUUGAAACAGCAUCCAAGA